CUCACCUAAUCCUAUAUGUCCCUAUAAUCCCAAAAAAUAGCGUAUUUGUUCCUUCAGGUGCGUGUGACAGACAACAUGGUGGCAGCAGAGGAUCGUGAACUGCCCCUUACUGAAUACACAUACCCUAUUGCAAGAGCAAAAGAAGGAUGAGAUGAUUCUAUAAACAUGGCAUCAGUACCUAAUUCAACAGGAGCUCAAAUAACUUUGGAGAACACAAACCAUACAACAGCAGAAAACUAUAAAUUAGCAAACACACACACAAAGCAACCCACAGAACAAAGCAAUGGUUCUCUCAUCCUCCUUGUAAACAGGAACGUUUUCAUCUACUGGUCAUACUCAGCCGAACUGUCUAACUGUAAGAACAUCGCAUCACUGCAUCCUUGUAUUCAGAUCCUGGUCCAAUUAAAUGGAGAGAAAUUUCAUUUAUGAGAACAAACAUUGGACAUGGAGUUAACAAAUUAAAAACACAAGGCUUGUAUUACUGGGAAACUCCUCAACUGUUCUCUGUAUUCUAUAAUCUUUGUUUUCUGUGACUAAAAUCAAAGAAUCAGAGAGGCGUAUGAUCAUCCUAUAAGAAUUCUAUUGAAUAGGCUUAAUUAAAUAAGCUAAAGUUGUGAUUUUUAAUCAAACCUUGAUUUGAACAAUUGUAAUAAUUACAAGUCACCUAAGGGCACAGAAAGCACAGUGUAUUGACUCCUGUAACUCUCUGUAUAUCCUUCUGUGAAUGAUAGGCAGCAACUUAUUUUAACCACAUUAGAAAAGACAAUA